rnacentral:rRNA from 1 species
AUUGAUCCCGUCGGACCCCACUGCUAUCGAGAUGGGACUAAGGUAUGCUAGUCGAACGACCAGAACUAUGUCUGGAAGUGGCACACUGCUCAGUAACACGUAGCUAACCUACCCUUAGGACGUGGAUACCCCCGAGAAAUUGGGGUUAAUCCGCGAUAGAUGUAAUGUCCUGGAAUGGUAUUACGUCUAAAGGUAUUUCAUACAUGUUUGAAAUAUGCCUAAGGAUGGGGCUGCGGCCGAUCAGGCUGUUGGUGAGGUAAUGGCUCACCAAACCUUUGACCGGUACGGGCCAUGAGAGUGGUAGCCCGGAGAUGGACACUGAGACAAGGGUCCAGGCCCUAAGGGGCGCAGCAACCGCGAAACCUCACAAUGCACUCACGUGCGAUGGGGCUAUCUCGAGUGCCACCUGAUGAAGGUGGCUUUUCCUUGGUCUUCAAAGCCUUGGGAAUAAGAGGGGGGCAAGACUGGUGUCAGCCGCCGCGGUAACACCAGCCCCUCGAGUGGUGGGGAUGAUUAUUUGGCCUAAAGCGUCCGUAGCCGGCCGAGCAAGUCUUCCGUUAAAUCCAGCGUCUCAAGCGUUGGACCGCGGGAGAUACUACAUGGCUAGAGAGUGGGAGAGGUCAGCGGUAUUCUGGGGGUAGGGGCGAAAUCCUUUGAUCCCCGGAGGACCACCAGUGGCGAAGGCUGCUGACUAGAACACGUCUGACGGUCAGGGACGAAAGCUGGGGUAGCGAACCGGAUUAGAUACCCGGGUAGUCCCAGCCGUAAACGAUGCAUGCUAGGUGUUGGGUUGGCCACGAGCCACCCCAGUGCCGCAGGGAAGCCGUUAAGCAUGCCGCCUGGGAAGUACGAUCGCAAGAUUGAAACUUAAAGGAAUUGGCGGGGGAGCACCACCAGGCGUGAAGCCUGCGGUUUAAUUGGAGUCAACGCCGGGAACCUUACCGGGAGCGACAGCAGAAUGAAGGCCAGAUUGAAGAUCUUGCCAGACGAGCUGAGAGGAGGUGCAUGGCCGUCGCCAGUUCGUGCCGUGAGGUGUUCUCUUAAGUGAGAUAACGAACGAGACCCGUGCCACAUGUUGCCACCAGUAUCUAAAGGAUAGCUGAGCACUCUUGUGGGACCGCAGCCGAUAAGGCUGAGGAAGGUACGGGCAACGGCAGGUCAGUAUGCCCCGAAUCUCCCGGGCCACACGCGGGCUGCAAUGGUAUAGACAGAGGGCUGCCACCCCGAAAGGGGGAGCCAAUCCCUAAACUGUACCUCAGUUGGGAUCGAGGGUUGCAACCCACCCUCGUGAACAUGGAAUGCCUAGUAACCGCCAGUCAUCAUCUGGCGGUGAAUACGUCCCUGCUCCUUGCACACACUGCCCGUCGAACCACCCGAAUGAGGUUUGGGUGAGGAAUGGUCGAAUGUUGGCCGUUUCGAACCUGGGCCUCGUAAGGAGGGUUAAGUCGUAACAAGGUG